rnacentral:rRNA from 1 species
GACGGAGGGUGCAAGCGUUGUUCGGAUUGACUGGGCGUAAAGGGCGUGUAGGCGGUUCGUUCAGUCGGGUGUGAAAGCCCGGGGCUCAGCUCCGGAAGUGCGCCCGAAACUGGCGAGCUGGAGCGCGGUAGAGGAGGGUGGAAUUCCUGGUGUAGCGGUGAAAUGCGUAGAUAUCAGGAGGAACACCGGCGGCGAAGGCAGCCCCCUGGGCCAACACUGACGCUCAGGCACGAAAGCGUGGGGAGCAAACAGG